rnacentral:snRNA from 1 species
GUGCUCGCUUUGGCAGCACAUAUACUAAAAUUGGAACAAUACAGAGAAGAUUAGUAUGGCUUCUGCGCAAGGAUGACACGCAAAUUCGUGAAGCAUCCCAUAUUUAA